AGCCUGAUGCAGCCAUGCCGCGUGUGUGAAGAAGGCCUUCGGGUUGUAAAGCACUUUCAGUCGUGAGGAAGGUAGUGUAGUUAAUAGCUGCAUUAUUUGACGUUAGCGACAGAAGAAGCACCGGCUAACUCCGUGCCAGCAGCCGCGGUAAUACGGAGGGUGCGAGCGUUAAUCGGAAUUACUGGGCGUAAAGCGCAUGCAGGUGGUUUGUUAAGUCAGAUGUGAAAGCCCGGGGCUCAACCUCGGAAUUGCAUUUGAAACUGGCAGACUAGAGUACUGUAGAGGGGGGUAGAAUUUCAGGUGUAGCGGUGAAAUGCGUAGAGAUCUGAAGGAAUACCGGUGGCGAAGGCGGCUCCCUGGACAGAUACUGACACUCAGAUGCGAAAGUGUGUGGAGCAAACAGGAUUAGA
rnacentral:rRNA from 1 species